UCAUCGGCCCUUAUAGGGUGGGCUACACACGUCAUAACAAGUGGCGUGGUAACGAAAGGGUUGACCCAACCCGCGAGGGGGAGCCAAUCCCAUAAAGCCAGUCGUAGUCCGGAUCGUAGUCUGCAACUCGACUACGUGAAGUCGGAAUCGCUAGUAAUCGUGGAUCAGAAUGUCACGGUGAAUACGUUCCCGGGUCUU
rnacentral:rRNA from 1 species